GGGCUGGAUCCUGAGUCCCGGGCCCCUUGUCUGACCUCUCUCCCUGCAGGGUGUGACUCUGACGGACCUGAAGGAAGCAGAGAAGGCCGCAGGGAAGGCCCCAGAGCCAGAAA
ensembl:miRNA